AUACGUAGGGGGCGAGCGUUGUCCGGAAUGAUUGGGCGUAAAGGGCGCGUAGGCGGCGCGGUAAGUCUGGAGUGAAAGUCCUGCUUUCAAGGUGGGAAUUGCUUUGGAUACUGACGAGCUUGAGUGCAGGAGAGGGUAUCGGAAUUCCCGGUGUAGCGGUGAAAUGCGUAGAUAUUGGGAGGAACACCAGUGGCGAAGGCGGGUAACUGGACUGCAACUGACGCUGAGGCGCGAAAGUGUGGGGAGCAAACAGGAUUAGAUACCCUGGUAGUCCACACUGUAAACGAUGAAUGCUAGGUGUAAGAGGUAUCGACCCCUUUUGUGCCGGAGUCAACACAAUAAGCAUUCCGCCUGGGGAGUACGGCCGCAAGGUUGAAACUCAAAUGAAUUGACGGGG
rnacentral:rRNA from 1 species